AGUGAACGCUGGCGGUAGGCCUAACACAUGCAAGUCGAACGGCAGCAUAGUAAGAGCUUGCUCUUACGGGUGGCGAGUGGCGGACGGGUGAGGAAUACAUCGGAAUCUACUUUUUCGUGGGGGAUAACGUAGGGAAACUUACGCGAAUACCGCAUACGACCUACGGGUGAAAGCAGGGGAUCUUCGGACCUUGCGCGAUUGAAUGAGCCGAUGUCGGAUUAGUUAGUUGGCGGGGGAAAGGCCCAGCAAGGCGACGAUCCGAAGCUGGUCUGAGAGGAUGAUGAGGCAGACUGGAUGUGAGGCAGAGUCCCGACUCCUGCGCGAGGCAGCAGUGCGGACUAUUAGGCAAUGGAGGAGAGGCUGAUCCUGCCAAACCGCGUAAGUCAAGAAGCACUUCGGCUUGUAAAGCCAUUUUGUUGGGAAAGAAAAGCAGCACGUUAAUACCCCGCUAUUCUGACGGUACCCAAAGAAUAAGCACCGGCUAACUUCGUG
rnacentral:rRNA from 1 species